AUUGAACGCUGGCGGCAGGCCUAACACAUGCAAGUCGAACGGAUCAGCGGACGGGUGAGUGAGACCUAGGAAUCUGCCUGGUAGUGGUGGAUAACGUCCGGAAACGGGCGCUAAUACCGCAUACUAUCAGAUGAGCCUAGGUCGGAUUAGCGAGUUGGGGGGGUAAGGGCCUACCCAGGCGACGAUCCGUAACUGGUCUGAGAGGAUGAUCAGGCACACUGGAACUGAGACACGGGCCAGACUCCUACGUGAGGCAGCAGUGGGGAAUAUUGCACAAUGGGCGAAAGCCUGAUCCAGCCAUGCCGCGUGUGUGAAGAAGGUCUUCGGAUUGUAAAGUACUUUAAGUUGGGAGGCGUUACCAACAGAAUAAGCACCGGCUAACUCCGUGCCAGCAGCCGCGGUAAUUC
rnacentral:rRNA from 1 species